CCGUCUGUCUCUGGGAUUCGCCUGUUUUGGACGUUUCUGAGAUGGAAUCACACACCUAGUGUCCCUCCGCGGGGCUGCUCUCACCGAGCGCCGUUUCCGAGGCUCGCAGGCCCCGCAGCUGCGUCAGCGCUUCGCCCCUUUGUGUGGCGGAGCCAUGAUCCGCUCUGCGGAUGGGCCUCGUGAGUCUACUGGUCGGUCGGUGACCGGGGACGCUUUGCACGCAGACUGCUUCGUCACAGUCGGCUGACGGAGGACUCGCCGCCCGCUCCGCACUCUGCACAAUGGACUUGGGGGCACACCCGAGGGCCUCUGAGUCGCUCCUCCCUGCGACACUGUGCCUUCAAGAUUCGUGGGUCUGUCUCGUCGACCGUACAGGGUCCCCUGUGCCGGCUCUCAGGUUCCUCGCCGGCUCUCUGCAGCUCCCGUCCCGGUCAUCUCCACGCCGACUCCCGAGGCGCUGCUCUGGCCGUGCUCCUGUUGGCUGUCCUCUCAUCCCCGUGGGGGGCAUGACGGGUGCGGCGGCCCUGGGCCGUGCGAUCGGGUACAGCGCCCAUGGGCACCCCCCUUCCGCAAGACUCACAGGGAACAGGUGCAGGUGGAUUCUUCAGUAUCUGAGCCUCCAGAGAGAUACGCAAAAUUUCUCUCCAUUCAAGUGCCACUGACUUCAGCUGGGCAAAUAUCCUAGCUCUGAGAGGCGGUCAAUAGUCUUUAAAACUCCUUUCAAAAUCUCAUCAAACACAGAAUUUAGCAAUAAAAAACAGCACAAACUGUGGCAUAGCAACUUGGAUGAAUCUCCAGAAAAUUAAACUUGAGUGCAAGAAGAGCCAAUCCCCAAAGGUUACACAUCGCAUGAGUCCAUUUACAGGACAUUCUUGAAGUGGAAAAUUACGGAGAUGGGGAACAGAACCAGGCACUCCUGGGGGCAUCACCAGAGUAAGUCCCGCUCAGAGACCUCCUUUUCUAAGAAGCACGGGGUUAGGAAGGAAAAUUGCCCAUGGCACCUGCUUGCUUCCCAAGCACAGGACUGAACUUGCCAUGAGUCAGCUAGACCCCUCCUGCCGCUGGGCUCGGCUUGAUGCAGUGAAGCUGGGGGUCUGCAGGGGGAGGAAGGCCUUGCAUCUGAACUGCACCUGCUUUGGAAAGGUAUUUCUUCACCGUCUCGGCGUGUGUCUCACCCAACUCCUGAGAGCCUGCCCAAGACUCUGUGCUGCUUCCAACUGUCAGGAGAGGCUGUGGACCUCACGGUGGGCCACACCAGCCCACACCCUCUCACCUGCACCCCAAGGACACGGACCAAGCAUGUCAUGGCUCGGGGGGACGUGGGGGAGGGCAGGACAGAGACCAUUUUUACCUCUCAGAUAUGCUACUUUGGGUAAAAAUAUGGGAGAAGAUGCCUUCAGUUCAGUCUAGGAAGGCACAGGAUAAAGCUUAAUUUACAGAAGGGUAGCAAGACUCCUACUUCUUCCUCUUCUGUGCAAAAGAAGUGUGUUAGUGUUUGCCAGAGAUGCUUCUGGUCCUGGGGGCCUGGACUGGCCUUCUGACCCCUCACCUGUCCAUGGGGAGGAGUGGCCUGCUGGCUGGCUGUUCUCUGUGAUCCAGGAGGAACACCAAAAUUCCUG